rnacentral:rRNA from 1 species
GACGAACGCUGGCGGCGUGCUUAACACAUGCAAGUCGAACGGUAAAGCCCUGCUCUUGUUGGGUGCUCGAGUGUCGCACGGGUGAGUAAAACGUGAGUAUCCUGCCCCUGACUUUGGGGUAACUUUAGGAAAAUGGGUCUCUUACCGGAUAGGAGCACCUGCUGCAUAGUUGGGGUUGGAAAGUUUCGGCGUUUGUGGAUGGACUCGUGGCCUAGCAGCUUGUUGGUGGGGUAGUGGCGUACUAAGGCUUUGACGGGUCGCCGGCCUGGGAGGGUGACCGGCCACAUAGGGACUGGGGAACGACCAGGACGCCUACGGGAGGCAGCGGUGGGGAAUAGUGCGCGAUGGGCGGAGGCCGGAUGCAGCAACGCCGCGUGCGAGAUGACGGCCGUCGGGUUAUAAACCGCGUGCGCCUGUGACGAAGCGUGAGUGACGGUAAUGGGUAAAGAAGCACCGGCUAACUACGUG